AUGAAAUUUUUAAAAUUGAAAAAAUCUGCGGUUGACUAAUUCUGGUUAUCUCUCUCCAAUAGGCAUAAUCAAUGAAAUUGCUGACAACGACCCUUACGAGCUACCGCAAUUCUACGUCAAAACGUCUGGUUCACACAGAGGCUGAUACUACAAAACAAAUAAAUAAUAACAGCAUACUAAUAAUGCUGAUCUUUCAUAAUAGCAGACUCAUAAGUUAUAGAACAAGUGGCAUGUAUAUGUAAGUAUAUGUGUGUCCUGUCCUGGUCCAAUAAAUGCAAGAAUUUCCUGACCGCUUGUCGCUGUGCUGGCAUGGUGGCGUAUGCGCGGCUAGUGCCCGCCGGAUGGGGUGGUUCUUUGCGCAAGCGUGUCACAUGAGCAGGAACAAAAAGUUUUACAUGCCAGGCUUACUAUGUAAAAGAAAAGGGAUGUUUGGCCCGAAAAAGAAACUACUAACCUAAGAUGUCUAAAUAAAAAUGAGGAAGCACCACACCUACCUUUUGGAAGCCUUCUCGCCUGGUGUUCUGGCGAGGAUAAUGCCCUCCCUCUGGAGUCGGAGCUCCACCAUAGCAACUUUCAAGUCAGUUGCCCCGUACCUACCUCUUCACCUUAUCACCCCCUUCCCAUCUCCCUCUUCUCAAGAUCUACAUGAUUUCAAUAAAAUUCAUCGUCUUUUCGUAAACGUUACAAACAUUUCAGGUAGUUCCUUUAUUUAUAAAAGAUGGUUAAUUUAUGAUGACCACAUGAAAAAUUCAGAAAAACAAGAGGCAUCAUCCAAAAAUCAUAAUAAAAAAGGAAACUCGAAACAUUAGGUGGGUAUGGCUAGCUUCAAACAGAUCUAAUGGCAUCCCAUCUCUUCUUUCGGGGCUCCUGCCGCUGAGUAAGUUAGGCUGUGCCCACAAUGGCAGCUUACUCCGUCUGUCCGUCUAUGUCCGUCCGAAUAUUGUAAAGUUCAAGGCCUUUACCACGCCCGAAAGGACGGCAUCUUCAAAGUACUAGCUUGGAACAAAGAUCCCUAUGGAGACUUCCUACCUGCCUAGAGAGAGCUCUAUCUAUUGGGGAAGGGUAAAUACCAUAUAAUACUGUGGAUGGUAUAACAAAAAAAAAUAAGUAUCCUAGAUGAAAAAAUGCCUUCCUUUUCAAAAACUAAUUUCUUUUUUUUCUCUUUUUAUUUUUAGAUAAUCUGUACGUCCGUCCGUCCGAAUGUUUAGUGUUAAGUAUAACGAGUUAAGGGUCUAUGUAAGCCGUCACCUGGAGCACUGCGGUCUGCGAGCGCUUUUGAAGGAGGUCCCACGCUGGUGCAGAGGAGAUGAGCCGUUGGCGAGCAGCGUUUUUUUUUUAUUUACUUUUAAUUCAAAAUUUUAGUUUAAGCUUUAGUUAUUUAUUCAGUCUUUUUUUCCUUUUUUUUUAAGUUUAUAAUUAAGUUUCUUUCUUUAGUUUGAAAUUUAUUUUCCAAUAAGUGUUUUUAAUUCAGUUCCUUUUUUUUCACUCUUUAGAGUUAGGUAUUAAUGUAGUUUUAAGAAUAGUUUUUAUGGUAAUUUUAAGGUUAUUUGGUAAUUCAGUUUGUAAGAUGCUUUUUUUUUUGUUUAGCUGUUGCAAUUUCUUUUUUCUUCAGUAAUAAAGGAUUCGAAAUUUUCUAAAUUGGU